rnacentral:rRNA from 1 species
UGGUGGGUACUCAUGAGAGACUGCCGGGGUUAACUCGGAGGAAGGUGGGGAUGACGUCAAAUCAUCAUGCCCCUUAUGUCCAGGGCUUCACACAUGCUACAAUGGUCGGUACAGCGAGUUGCCACACCGUGAGGUGGAGCUAAUCUCUUAAAGCCGGCCUCAGUUCGGAUUGGGGUCUGCAACUCGACCCCAUGAAGUCGGAGUCGCUAGUAAUCGCAGAUCAGCAACGCUGCGGUGAAUACGUUCCCGGGCCUUGUACACACCGCCCGUCACGUCAUGAAAGUUGGUAACACCCGAAGCCAGUGGCCCAACCUUUUAGGGGGGAGCUGUCGAAGGUGGGAUCGGCGAUUGGGACGAAGUCGUAACAAGGUAGCCGUACCGGAAGGUGCGGCUGGAUCACCUCCUUUCUAAGGAG